CCAAUAGCGUAUAUUAAAGUUGUUGCAGUUAAAAAGCUCGUAGUUGAAUUUCGGGGUUCAUCCGUUGGUCGGGCUUUUUUGGUCUGUACUGGCGUGAUGGAUUCCUACCUUCUGAAUAACCAGCAUGUCAUUAAUUUGGUGCGCUGGGGAAGCAGGACUGUUACCUUGAAAAAAUUAGAGUGCUUAAAGCAGGCUAUUGCCUGAAUACAUUAGCAUGGAAUAAUGAAAUAGGACGGCAUGGUUCUAUUUUGUUGGUUUCUAGGAUCACCGUAAUGAUUAAUAGGGAUAGUUGGGGGCAUUAGUAUUCAAUUGUCAGAGGUGAAAUUCUUGGAUUUAUUGAAGACUAACUUCUGCGAAAGCAUUUGCCAAGGAUGUUUUCAUUAAUCAAGAACGAAAGUUAGGGGAUCGAAGACGAUCAGAUACCGUCGUAGUCUUAACCAUAAACUAUGCCGACUAGGGAUCGGACGAUGUUAAUUUUUUAAUGACUCGUUCGGCGCCUUACG
rnacentral:rRNA from 1 species